rnacentral:rRNA from 1 species
UACGAGGGGGGCGAGCGUUGUUCGGAAUUAUUGGGCGUAAAGGGUGCGUAGGCGGUUUGGUAAGUCUGAUGUGAAAUCUAUGGGCUCAACUCAUAGUCUGCAUCGGAAACUGCCGGGCUUGAGUGUGGGAGAGGUGAGUGGAAUUCCUGGUGUAGCGGUGGAAAUGCGCAGAUAUCAGGAGGAACACCGAUGGCGAAGGCAGAUCUCUGGGCCGUAACUGACGCUGAGGAGCGAAAGCGUGGGGAGCGAACAGG